AGAGUUUGAUCAUGGCUCAGAGCGAACGCUGGCGGCAGGCCUAACACAUGCAAGUCGAGCGCCGUAGCAAUACGGAGCGGCAGACGGGUGAGUAACGCGUGGGAACGUGCCCUUCGGUUCGGAAUAACUCAGGGAAACUUGAGCUAAUACCGGAUACGUCCGAGAGGAGAAAGAUUUAUCGCCGAAGGAUCGGCCCGCGUAAGAUUAGCUAGUUGGUGAGGUAACGGCUCACCAAGGCUCUGAUCUUUAGCUGGUCUGAGAGGACGAUCAGCCACACUGGGACUGAGACACGGCCCAGACUCCUACGGGAGGCAGCAGUGGGGAAUAUUGGACAAUGGGCGCAAGCCUGAUCCAGCCAUGCCGCGUGAGUGAUGAAGGCCUUAGGGUUGUAAAGCUCUUUUGGCAGGGACGAUAAUGACUGUACCUGCAGAAUAAGCCCCGGCCAACUUCGUGCCAGCAGCCGCGGUAAUACGAAGGGGGCUAGCGUUGCUCGGAAUCACUGGGCGUAAAGCGCACGUAGGCGGGUCGUUAAGUCGGGGGUGAAAUCCUGGAGCUCAACUCCAGAACUGCCUUCGAUACUGGCGAUCUUGGAGUCCGGGAGAGGUGAGUGGAACUGCGAGUGUAGAGGUGAAAUUCGUAGAUAUUCGCAAGAACACCAGUGGCGAAGGCGGCUCACUGGCCCGGUACUGACGCUGAGGUGCGAAAGCGUGGGGAGCAAACAGGAUUAGAUACCCUAGUAGUCC
rnacentral:rRNA from 1 species